AAGGAUCAUUACCAAUCCAAAGAUUACAUCUUUUCCUGUGAAUUAAAUGAAAUGUUUUUAAUAUUUGGGUGACUUGAGGAAUAGUCAAUAUUUUUCAAAUCACCCAAAUAUUUUGAAUAACAACGCCUUAUAAAAACUUUUUAUAAUUUAAAAUUGUUUUGUUGAUAAUAUUGUUUCAUUACACAUUAUCAUCAAUACAAAAAAAAUAAAAAAAAAAUAACAACUUUUAGCGGUGGAUCUCUUGGCUCAU
rnacentral:misc_RNA from 1 species